AAUAUUAUUAUUUUUUUUUUUUUAAUUUCAAAGAGACAAAGACUAGUAAAUUAUCUAGCGCAUAAAAAUUUUCAUGAACUUGACUAAAAAUGAGGCUAAUGUUUCUAAUGAACUUUGACAAUCUUUAUUCAAAGUAAAGCUUGUUCUAGUUUAACUAAUUAUUUGCUAAGAUACUUUCAAAUAAUAUCAUUUGGCUUUCAUAUUUAGAGUUAACAAAUAAAUUUA
rnacentral:misc_RNA from 1 species